GAUGAACGCUGGCGGCGUGCCUAAUACAUGCAAGUCGAGCGAACAGAUAAGGAGCUUGCUCCUUUGACGUUAGCGGCGGACGGGUGAGUAACACGUGGGUAACCUACCUAUAAGACUGGAAUAACUCCGGGAAACCGGGGCUAAUGCCGGAUAACAUUUAGAACCGCAUGGUUCUAAAGUGAAAGAUGGUUUUGCUAUCACUUAUAGAUGGACCCGCGCCGUAUUAGCUAGUUGGUAAGGUAACGGCUUACCAAGGCAACGAUACGUAGCCGACCUGAGAGGGUGAUCGGCCACACUGGAACUGAGACACGGUCCAGACUCCUACGGGAGGCAGCAGUAGGGAAUCUUCCGCAAUGGGCGAAAGCCUGACGGAGCAACACCGCGUGAGUGAUGAAGGUCUUCGGAUCGUAAAACUCUGUUAUUAGGGAAGAACAAAUGUGUAAGUAACUGUGCACGUCUUGACGGUACCUAAUCAGAAAGCCACGGCUAACUACGUG
rnacentral:rRNA from 1 species